rnacentral:rRNA from 1 species
UUACUAAGCGGAGGAAAAGACACUAACCAGGAUUUCCUUAGUAAGGGCGACUGAAGAGGAAAAAGCUCAAGAUGUGAAUCGGUGCUUGCACUGAAUUGUGGUCUGAAGGCAAGUGUGUUUCUAAUUUGGUUAAGUCUCUUGGAACAGAGUGGACUAUAGGGUGAGACCCCCGUAUACCUUACUAUGAUAACAUUUGUCAAUGAGUCGAGUUGUUUGGGAUUGCAGCUCAAAGUGGGUGGUAAAUUCCAUCUAAAGCUAAAUACUGUUGAGAAACCGAUAGCGAACAAGUACCGUGAGGGAAAGAUGCAAAGAACUUUGAAAAGAGAGUUAAAGAGUACCUGAAAUUGCCGAAAUGGAAGCGAAGGAAAUCAGUGUUUGCUAUUUCAUAUUAUUCUGUCUGCUUGCAGGCAGGACGCUGUGGAUUGCAUAGUUCCCGUCAUCGAUGUUGGGUAAAAUUACCUUUCAGUAUUUUGCUGUUUGUGGGAUUACUUGAUGUUGCUGAAUGGGGACAAAAUGGUUUUCUUCUUCCCG